AUUGAACGCUGGCGGCAGGCUUAACACAUGCAAGUCGAGCGGAGAUGAGGUGCUUGCACCUUAUCUUAGCGGCGGACGGGUGAGUAAUGCUUAGGAAUCUGCCUAUUAGUGGGGGACAACAUUCCGAAAGGAAUGCUAAUACCGCAUACGUCCUACGGGAGAAAGCAGGGGAUCUUCGGACCUUGCGCUAAUAGAUGAGCCUAAGUCGGAUUAGCUAGUUGGUGGGGUAAAGGCCUACCAAGGCGACGAUCUGUAGCGGGUCUGAGAGGAUGAUCCGCCACACUGGGACUGAGACACGGCCCAGACUCCUACGGGAAGCAGCAGUGGGGAAUAUUGGACAAUGGGGGGAACCCUGAUCCAGCCAUGCCGCGUGUGUGAAGAAGGACUUAUGGUUGUAAAGCACUUUAAGCGAGGAGGAGGCUACUGAGACUAAUACUCUUGGAUAGUGGACGUUACUCGCAGAAUAAGCACCGGCUAACUCUGUGCCAGCAGCCGCCGUAACAC
rnacentral:rRNA from 1 species